rnacentral:rRNA from 1 species
GACGAACGCUGGCGGCGUGCUUAACACAUGCAAGUCGAACGAUGAUGCUGGAGCUUGCUCCAGUUGAUUAGUGGCGAACGGGUGAGUAACACGUGAGCAAUCUGCCCUUGACUCUGGGAUAACUGCGGGAAACUGUAGCUAAUACCGGAUACUUUCACCGGAAGGCAUCUUUUGGAGAUGAAAGAAUUUCGGUCAGGGAUGAGCUCGCGGCCUAUCAGCUUGUUGGUGAGGUAACGGCUAACCAAGGCGACGACGGGUAACCGGCCUGAGAGGGUGACCGGUCACACUGGGACUGAGACACGGCCCAGACUCCUACGGGAGGCAGCAGUGGGGAAUAUUGCACAAUGGGCGCAAGCCUGAUGCAGCAACGCCGCGUGAGGGAUGAAGGCCUUCGGGUUGUAAACCUCUUUUAGCAGGGAAGAAGCGAAAGUGACGGUACCUGCAGAAAAAGCACCGGCUAACUACGUGCCAGCCGCCGCCGUAA